AUGUGUUGUUUUGGAGUUGUUUGACACUCUGUGUAAGGCAGAAUUGCAUGGAAGCAGACCUGUGUUGGAGCCACUUAGGAUACUUACCUAUGAGACAAAUCUGAAACCUGGUCCCGAUGACAGCUGGAAAGAUCCUUUCCAAAGCUUAGUGGAUGCAUUCAUAAUCUUUGUUUUAAAUUCUCUGUGGUCUGGCAUCCUCCCCUGAACCUUCUGGACCCCCAGCUGGAACCAGAAAAUACCAGCAAUGUCACUCAAAGGCCGAAGCCUGUGAGACACUUCCUGUUGGGCCCCCAGGAAGAUGAUCUCCCGCCUUGUCGGCUCCCACUGCAGCACAAAGGAAAUAAUUAUCCUGUAAUUACGGAUGGUUAAGAAGAAGAUUGGCCAUCUCUGUAAUCUGCGUAAUAGCAUAAUGUGUUACCGGACUCUGUAAGCCUGAACAACUGCUGUAGGCGAGGAUGUAUACUGAAUGCAUUUUUUAUUUUGACCUCACGAUUGACAGAAAAAUACACACAACCAGGGAGGAAAAUAUCAUUAAUAUGUACGCAUGUAACCUUUUUUACCUGCUUGUUUUUUUCUGUCUCAGCUUCCUUACCGCUCAAUUACCGCAACAUCUGGAAGGCAUUAUGAAUCAUCGCUGCUCAAUGUGGGUGGCAUUUCCGAGACUAAAUUAUCUUCAUCCUUUUGCCACCCUUGGUUGCCCAUAAAAGUUUGUUUAAAUUAUGGCAAAUUUGGUCCAGUUUUCCAAACUUCAAAAGAAGAAUCUAUUCCACUGUGGCCAAAAGCUUCAGUCGGGUCAGUGCAGUAAAUGGAAUAGAUGGUUGAUGUACAAAUUUUACACAAGGUAAAAAUAUUGAUCGUAUAAUUUACUGAUCUCCUUAUUAACUCAUAUUAGAAAAAUAAACUUUAUU